AUCUCUACUUUGUUCAUUCUAUUUCAUGUGAUAUUUGUUAUCUCUACUUUGUUCGUUGUUAUUUAUUUAUUUGUUAUUUCUUCACAAUAGUAUGGAGUCACUUGCUUGAAGUCAAUUUAAUUUUUAUUUUUAUUUUUUUUAGAUUGCUUAGCACUGGCUGGUGUGCAUUGUUUACUAUUUAUUUUAAAUUUAGUUUUUUGGUAUUGUAGAGCCAUGGCUGGUGUGCAUUGUUUGUUAUAUAUAUUUUGAAUUCUAUUUUUCUAGAUUGCAGAGCACUUGCUGGUGUGCUUCAUUUGGUGUUUAAUAAUUUUUUGGUAUUGCAAAGCACUGGUUGAUGUGCAUUGUUUAUUGUUUAUUUUUAAUUUCUAAAUGGCUGGUAUUAUUUGGUAACGAGUGAAUAAUGAAACAAAUAUAUAUACCUGUGCUUAGGGGUUGUUAUCUUUAAUUGAGCUUUGUAGAGCGUGUGGUACCAACAAAAUUGCAGAGUGUGGGUUUUAAAAACAAUAUUUCUUUAUAUUUCUCAAUGUCUUAAGUUUUUUGUAUGUUUUUCAAUAAAUUACAUUUGUAUUCAACUACAUUUUGAUCUCAAUAUUAUUUAUAUCGUGUCAUUAUGCACCAGCAUACUUUUUAUUUUGUACUUUACAUACCUCUUAUUCUUCCCUUUGUAUUUUGUUUAUGUACCUGCUCUUCUCAUCUUCAUUGUAACCCUCUCUUUGAAAUUAAUUUUUAUAUUUUAUUAUCCGAUUUGCUACUAAAAUUGUUAUAAGUUGUUUAAGAAUAAUAAUAUUUCUUUAUAUUUUUUUAGUGUCUUUAUCAAAAAAUCAAAAAAUGAUACAAACUCUAAAGUAGGUUGUAUGUUAUAAGUAUGUUAGGAGGUUAUUAAUUUUGUGUCGAUUAAUUUUUUUUAUGGCAAUUAUUAAACCUCAUUUUGCCUUCUUGCAGUUAUCUUUUUCAAAUUGACAUAACUAGACAUUUUCAGGUUGAGACACUCUUGACCUUUAACUUCUAAUUAUGGACAACAUUACUAUUUUUGGUCACAUGGAUGGAGACCUACGUCAAACUGUAAUAUCGACUCCUUUUACUCAUUUUCUUACAUGCAUAUAUUUUUUAAUUUUUUUUACCUCUAAUUCUUUUGUAUUUAUAGGUUCAAUUUCUUGAAGAAAGAAAUGCUAAUGUUGUCAUCCGUGAUAAGCAUGACCUUAAUGUCAUCCGGGUUCGAGAGUGUUUAGUCAUGGACAACUGUACGUGGCCCUAUCUAGAUGCACAUCUUUUGAUCGUACAAGUGUCUUCCUUCCCAACGAUGAGCUAGAUUCUACUACAAACAUUAUUUAUCUUGAAAUUUUGUUAUAGUGUUACUUAUGGAUCAAAUCACUUUUGUCAAAAGGAUUGGGUUAAAAAAUAUAUGGACCUCAAAAAGAUAAAUACAAUUAGAUUGCUUUGACAGAGAUGUAACAAGAUUGUCGCGCAUACUUCUCAUUGGAGAUAUAUAGAAGUUGAAACAAAUACUUUUUGGAAAGUGAUGAGGCGCUCUUAGGAAUUCUAAGAAAGAACAAGUUUGAAGAUCAUAUUUAUUUUUGUAAAAAGCGUACAUAUGCUAGCUACGAUCUAGAUUUUGUAAAGUUUCAUAUCGAUGUAAAUUUUAGUUUCGUAAAGCCUUUUAUCUAUGUGCAAUUUAUAAAUAAGUUCAGAUGUAUAUUAUAUAAUAUUUAUUUGAAUUA